rnacentral:rRNA from 1 species
CGCGUAGGCGGAUGUUACAGUCAGGCGUGAAAUUCCUGGGCUCAACCUGGGGGCUGCGUUUGAUACGUGAUGUCUGGAGUUCGGAAGAGGGUCGUGGAAUUCCCAGUGUAGAGGUGAAAUUCGUAGAUAUUGGGAAGAACACCGGUGGCGAAGGCGGCGACCUGGUCCGAUACUGACGCUGAGGCGCGAAAGCGUGGGGAGCAAACAGGAUUAGAUACCCUGGUAGUCCGCGCUGUAAACGAUGUGCGCUGGAUGUUGGGUGACAUAGUCAUUCAGUGUCGUAGCUAACGCGAUAAGCGCACCGCCUGGGGAGUACGGCCGCAAGGUUGAA